UCCAAAGCUCUUUUUAUAUUAGUAUAGAUGCAUUGCAUUCUUUUUAAACAUAGUAUAAUUAAAGAAGAUAAAAUGAAAUAAGAGAAAAAAAAAUUAACUCGUAAGCUAGCUUGAGGAGCUAAACUUGUGGCUAGGUGAAUAAUAAAUCAUACCACUUAAACUAUUAUUGCUGAGGUAUAAGUGCAUAAGAGCUGUCAUGUUCCCCACUUCUCUCGGGAUUGAUCCGGUAAGUUCGUUGGAACCCAACAACAUGUACCAUAAAUUAUGAAGAUUUCCAAUCUCUUUCGGAAUAGUACCUGGAGAAUAAUCCCACAAGACAAUGUAUGACCCCUACCAACUUCAAGACAACAUACCUCUUAAUUAAAGAAGAUCAAAUGAAAUAAGAGAAAAAGAAAUUAACUCGUAAGCUAGCUUGAGGAGCUAAACUUGUGGCUAGGUGAAUAAUAAAUCAUACCACUUAAACUAUUAUUGCCGAGGUUUAAUCUGACCAAAGCUGUCAUGUUCCCCACUUCUCUUGGGAUUGAUCCGCUAAGUUCGUUGGAACCCAACCACAUGUCCUGCAAAUUAUGAAGAUUUCCAAUCUCU
rnacentral:lncRNA from 1 species